UUUCCGUAUUGGCAGACAAGUGCAAUAGACUUAGACUCUAACUAAACCAAC
rnacentral:tRNA from 1 species